AUUGAACGCUGGCGGCAUGCUUUACACAUGCAAGUCGAACGGUAACAGGGUGCUUGCACCGCUGACGAGUGGCGAACGGGUGAGUAAUGCAUCGGAAUGUACCGUGUAAUGGGGGAUAGCUCGGCGAAAGCCGGAUUAAUACCGCAUACGCCCUGAGGGGGAAAGUGGGGGACCGAAAGGCCUCACGUUAUACGAGCAGCCGAUGUCUGAUUAGCUAGUUGGUGAGGUAAAGGCUCACCAAGGCGUCGAUCAGUAGCGGGUCUGAGAGGAUGAUCCGCCACACUGGGACUGAGACACGGCCCAGACUCCUACGGGAGGCAGCAGUGGGGAAUUUUGGACAAUGGGCGCAAGCCUGUUCCAGCCAUGCCGCGUGUCUGAAGAAGGCCUUCGAGUUGUAAAGGACUUUUGUCCGGGAGCAAAUCCUAGUGGUUAAUAACCGCUGGGUCUGAGAGUACCGGAAGAAUAAGCACCGGCUAACUACGUG
rnacentral:rRNA from 1 species